GUCCACGCUGUAAACGAUGAUUACUCGUUUCGGCGAUAUACAGUCUGAGACUAAGCGAAAGUGAUAAGUAAUCCACCUGGGAGUACGAUCGCAAGGUUGAAACUCAAAGGAAUUGACGGGGCCCGCACAAGCGGUGGAGCAUGUGGUUUAAUUCGAUGAUACGCGAGGAACCUUACCAGGGCUUAAAUGCAAGUUGAAUGAUGUGGAAACAUGUCAGUCUUCGGACAAUUUGCAAGGUGCUGCAUGGCUGUCGU
rnacentral:rRNA from 1 species